UACGUAGGGGGCUAGCGUUGUCCGGAAUCAUUGGGCGUAAAGCGCGUGUAGGCGGUCCGGUAAGUCCGCUGUGAAAGUCGAGGGCUCAACCUCGAAUGCCGGUGGAUACUGUCGGGCUUGAGUACGGGAGAGGCGAGUGGAAUUCCUGGUGUAGCGGUGAAAUGCGCAGAUAUCAGGAGGAACACCGAUUGCGAAGGCAGCUCGCUGGAACGUUACUGACGCUGAGGCGCGAAAGCGUGGGGAGCAAACAGG
rnacentral:rRNA from 1 species